CUCGGGGAGAAAGUUUCACCUCGGCUGGGGAAGGAGCGCGGAGCCCGGGACGGAGAGAGCGAGAGCCAGAAGGGACCAUUGGGAUCACCUAGUCUGGUCUACUAUAGGCCAGUGAACUUUCCUGAAUUAAUUCCUGUUUGAACUAGAGGUGAUCUUGAUUGAAAAAUUGCCAGGGGUGGAGAAUCCCCCACAACCCUUGCUCUGGUUCCUGAGGCGUUACUCCCGAAAAGCCCCAGCAAAAGAAUGUACGAAGAGCUGUGAAAAUGGAGACUUGCUCCUUCCUGCAGCUGUGACCCCUCCAUGGCCUGGGGCACCUCAAUACUUCAUCCUGCUCCUGUGAGGGGCCCUACCUAGCCCAGGCCCCCUCAGCCCUGGGCCCCCCAGCCCUGUGGGGGUGGGUGAGAAGGGGCAAUUUCCUAGCUGCUGAGGAGGAGGUGAGAGGGGAUGAGGGGUACGGCAGAUCCCCACCGCCACCACGCCGCCAUCCUGGGCUCUUUUCACAUUGUGCUACUGUCUGAGCCCCUGCCAAGCAGUGCAAUGUCAAAAGGGCAUCGGGCGGGCGGUGCCAGCAGCGCCUUGCCCAGUGCCUCCACCACUCUGCCUCUGGGGGUCUGGGAGAAGGAGGGCAGAGUGGGAUCUGCAGGGGGACACAGACCUCCUCUCCCAGAGUGGGGCAGAGGAGGGGAGGAAGAGGGGCUUUGAUGCAGGGGAGGGGUGCUGUGCUGGGGGCAAGGGUGUCAGGAACUCAGCGGCCUAGCAACCUAAUGAGCUCAUUUGGUUCAAUGAACCUAGGUGACUGUGCUCCCUGACUGGACCGAAGGGCCAUCAGGUCACCAGUUAACCGCGUAGCAACAGCAGCACCGUGGCUGCUCAAUGCAUUCUAUGCUCCCAGCUGCGCCAGACCUGCUUCCUGCUGGCCCUUGCCCCACUCUUUGCAAGCUCCACUCCAGCUCUUCCCUCUGGACUCCUGCCCUCUGGUUCUGAUUAAUGGCUUGUCCCCGGGCCACGACUCCAGUUCUGCUCUCUGAGUCUGCUCCAACCACUAGGCCAGACUCCUGCUCUGACCACUUGGUCUCACCGCCUACCCCUUGGCAUGCGACAGUUUGUCCAGCCUGUUAGAAGGUAGCCAGGGCUUUGCCGCACAGCAUGGAGCUUCCAUCCAGAAUGGCCCCAGCAGGAGCUCACCCCACCUUUGCAGACAUUGUUGGAGUCCUGCAGGAACUGCAGGCUCAAGUUGACACGCUACGUGACAAGAAUGCAGCCUUCCAGGCCCAGGUACAAGCCCAGGCAGCGUCUUCUGUCCCCACAACCUUGCAUCCAUUUUCUGUGAGCCCGAGUUGCCCCUACCCAGUAAGUUUUAUGGGGAUUGUGCCAAAUGACAUGGGUUCCUUAACCAUUGUCAUCUCCAGUUCGUGUUGUGGCCAGUCGGACCCUACAGCUCAGUUCCAAGUGGAAUUAGUUCUCAGUCUGUUCUGAGGAGAGGCCCUGACGUGGGUGUCCCCUUUCGUGGAAGGGGACAGUCCUCUCCUUGAACACUGUGAGAGCUUUGUACAGGCAGGGUGGGCAUCUCUGUGAACCCUAAUGGAGAAUGUUUCAGAGUAGCAACCGCAUUAGUCUGUAUUCACAAAAAGAACAGGAGUACUUGUGGCAUCUUAGAGACUAACAAAUUUAUUUGACCAUAAGCUUUCGUGAGCUACAGCUCACUUCAUCGGAUGCACAUUAGAAGCUGCUCUCCAUACCCUUUGGCAGGGGGUCGGGGCCGUUGCCAAAUAUGCAGCAGAAUUCCAUUGUCCGGCCGCAGACACUCAUUGGAAUGAGUCUGGGCUGUGACACCCCUUUAGGCAGGGGCUCAGCAAUUCUAUCAAAGAUGAAUUAGCAUGGGUGGAACCUCCGCCUAGUCUAGCAGCUUUAAUUGAUAUUUGCAUCCAGACUGAUGGUUGACCAAUGGAGCAAUCUCAAGAAAAGCGACACGCCACCUGAACCCUGCUGGCCAGAAUGCUUCUGUCUCCCACAGUCCCAGUUGACCUACCAGAUCCCGAACCAAUGCAAGUCAACCAAAUCCUGGCCCACCUUUCCACUGAUGAAAAGAAUUGUCCUCAGGCAUUGGGGUUGUGCUUGUAUUGGGGCGGGUGAUGGGUUGGACCCCUUGGGAAGCCACCUCAUGUUCUGAGAUAUCACUGAGUCUACCUGUUCUGCUACCAUAGGCCCCUUUAACCUGUCUUGCUGAGCCAGGCUCUUAAAACCUCCUCUAACACACACACAAGCAGGGCCACACCCAGCUGCAGAUCAGCUCUGGGAAGACUAAGGGCAUGGCUACACUUGCAGAUAUAGAGCGCUUUGAAUUAAACCAGCCUUUGGAGAGUGCAGUAGGGAAAGUGCUGCAGUCUGUCCACACGGACAGCUUCAAGCACAUUUGCGGCACUUGCAGCAGCAUUGGGCAGUUAUCCCAGCUUGCAAGUGACUGCAACGUGGUUUUCAAAUGGGGGAGGGUGUGACAGGGAGUGUGUUGUGUGUAUGUGGGGGGAGAGAGAGUGGGGUUUUGGGGGGGCUGAGAGCAUGUCAGCAUGCUGUCUUGUAAGUUCAGACUGCAGCAGACCCCUCCCCCCCCCUGCCUCUCUCUCACACACACACAGCAUUCCACACUAAUGGUUGCUUUUUCUCGGAGCAGAUAAGCAGCCAGCUGUCAGAAACGGAGCUUUCAAAGGGCACAUCUGUACUCCUGCAGUGAUUCAAAAACAAUGACCAGAGUGGCCACUUGACUUAAGGGGAUUAUGGGACGUUUCCGAAGGCUGAUCAGAGUGCAGUAAUGCAACACCUCUUCCAUACUGGCGCCGCGGCGCUCCAGCGGGGGCGCAGCAAACAUUAUUCCACUCGCUGAGGUGGAGCACCAGCAGCACUGUAGCUGCGAAGUCAGAGCGCUGUACAUGCCUUGCCAGUGUGGAAGGGGAGUGAGCUAGUGUGCCCGGGGCUCCUUUAUUGUGCUGUAACUCACAAGUGUAGCCAAGCCCUCAGCUUCAGGGACAUGCUUCAGCACUCAGAUGUCCACCUCUCUUGGAGUGCAGACCCAAAGAUAUAUUAUGAAAUUCGCCCUCCCCCACCAUGUGGAGAGAAGUGUACACACUUCUUACCCCCCAGUUAGAAAUUACAGAAACUGGGUUUAAUAAUAAAACAAAUUUUAUUAACUGUAAAAGGCAGCUUUUAAGUGGUAAAAGGGGUAACAAAUAGAACAAAGGAGAUUACUAAGCAAAUGAAAUCAAACACACAAACUAAGCUAGUUUCACUAAAGGAAUUGGUUGCAAAUAGUAUUUCUCACCCUAGAUAUUGUUGCAGGCAGUUUGCAAAGUUUCUGUGGUUCAUAGUUCCAGUUAUAUUCCAUUUCAGACUGGACCCCUUUCUCAUUCUGGAUUCCCCCCUUGCCUUCCCUUUGCAGUCUUUCUUGGGCAGACAGGCCAUGGAGGGGAAGAGUCCUGUUUGCCUUCAUCCCCACUCAUUUACAUAAGGUGGGAAUCCUUUGUUUCCCAAACUUGACCCCCCUUCCCUUACAGUGGAAAGUUAUCAGAAGUCCCAGGUAAUGUUUUAGUAUCAGGUGACAAGACCACCUGACUCUGUAAUAUCUGAAUGCAUCCGAUGAAGUGAGCUGUAGCUCAUGAAAGCUUAUGCGCAAAUAAAUUUGUUAGUCUCUAAGGUGCCACAAGUCCUCCUUUUCUUUUUGUAGUAUCACUGCGUCCAUAGAGUCGGGGCAGUAUGGAGCAUCCACAGGAAGACCAAGCUUUUCACAGUCCAUUGUCCUUGCUGAUAGGCCAUCCGCCCUGUCUGGCUUUUCCAUUGUUGUAACUGAAGUGUUAGCAGUGGGCGUCACCCAAAGUAGAUUUGUUGAAAUACAGAUAUAUAGUCAAUAUUCCAAACUUCAGAUACAGAAAUGGUACAGGCAUACAAAUUGGAUAAUCGAUUCAGUAAAUCAUAACCUUUCCAAUGAUAUCUCACAUGAGCCAUCUUGCAUAAAGUAUAUCUCAGUUAUGUCAUAUUCAUGUCAUAAGCAUAUUUUCAUAAAUAAUAUGGAAUAACACGUCACACUGGGUGCCUGGGCACAUUGUAUCAGAGUGCCUGGCCAAGGUCUGGGCCACCCUGUCAGGAAAUGCCAGAACCCAGCCCCAGUAGGGGAGCUAGGGUUGAGUCAGUGCUCCACUGCUCCCCACAGUGAAUCGUGCUGCUGCCUAUCUGCCUGAAUCUUGGCAUCCUUUAACCAGCAUGCCACCCCACUGCAUCUGCCUCUUCAGCUUCAGCAUUCUGCCAUGCCAGAUGUCCACCUAGGAGCCUUGGUCGGCUUGGGCUCUUCUGGCAAUUUUAUGGACCAGAACUUGAAGGAGCCUCAAAUUCCCAUCCUCUGCAAGGACUUCCCCGAGCUUGUUGAGCUUAUAGACAGGUCAUUCCUAUCUUCAGGCCCCAUCAUGCAUCAGACAACCCAUCUAGAGGGCAUCAGCAUUUUGGCAAUCACCCGAGAGAUCUGGCAGUUCAGGGUCAUCUGCGCUUCGCCUUCCCAAUCUAGUCAAUGGCUGGUCGCAUUCUGUGGCAUGCUCCAGCCCCUGAAGGAUCCAGAAUUGCCAACCAAAGUUUCAUUGGCAGUGCCUGGAAUUCCUGCCGAAUACGUAGAAUAUGUCACAGUAUUUGACAAACAGAAGGCAGACACUCUACUUCCUCAGCACAGUGACGACUGCACAAUUGACCUUCAACCAGGAACACCGAGUUCCUUUUGGGUGCAUUUACACCUUAUCUGUACCUGAGCUGCAGGCCCUUAAGGAAAAUCUGCAGAAGAGGUUCAUUGUCCCUUGACUUCCCGAGUGGCAGCACCUAUCUUCUUCAUGGCCAGGAAGGAUGGCUCCCUCUCUUGUAGUGAUUAUUAAACUUUUAGCAAGAUCACAGUCUGCAACUGAUGCCCCCUUUCAUAAAUGAACUCCUGUAAAGACUCCGGGUCGGAUCUUCACAAAGAAAGACUGGCAUGGGGCAUACAACUUGUCAGAAUCCAGCAAGGGAAUGUGUGAUUCUGAUGGACCAGGGGCCAGCUCAUGCCAAGGCCCUUAGGUCUCAACUGAACACUGGUAAAUAUGUAGCUGGAACCAGUCUGGCUCAUCCAUGUGUUAGUAUUGUUAAAGUAGGUAUUAGAGUUAUUAAAAUGUGUUGCUGAUCCAAUAUAAUAUCUGUAUCCUAUGUUCCAAGGUAACAAGUGUUCGCUCUGUAACUUUAACGCACCAGACAGACAAGAAGCAUUACCAAGUGUGAAAUACUAGCUUGUCACAGGCGGUGUUCUCUCUUGCCCAACAAAAGAAGUCCCAUCAACACCAGAGGAACUGUUGUGGAACAUCAGAGGACAAUUACUUUGUUGAUUGCCGCCCUUUUGCCCCCCACCCCCACCCCCCGCCUUGAAGAAGAGACCAGCAGCUGGGUAGAAGGGGAGAAGGAAUAAAAAGCCCUAACAAGGAGGAACUGUAUCUGCUGCUUGGAGUCUGAGGAGUGGGAAAUACUAAGCAUAAGCAAAAGAUCCCCACUGGUUGGCCUGGAUUAGCCCUAAGGGCAUAGAGCUUGCUUAUUAUAGAAGCUUCUAUUACCUUUUGAAACUUAAGACAGGAACACAUUUGUGUGUAUGUUUACCUGCUUUAACCUUGUAAAUACUCUAUUUCCUUUGCCUAGUUAAUAAAUCUUUAGAUAGUUUAUUUUAGGAUUGGUAAGACCCUUUGUUUUCAGUUUAAACCGAUUUUUAUUGAAAAAUUCCCAGGUUUUAAAAAUAGGAUUAUUCAGUUUUUUCUGAUUUUCAUUCUGCUUUUGUAUCAUUCAAAUAUAUAAAAAAAUAACUAGUUUUAUUACGAAAAUACUAUACAUUCCAUAAGCUAUAUGUAUUACAAUAAUACAUUAGUCUGUGUGUAUAUGCAAAGCUGUCUGUUGAAGUAAGGCUAUGUAUUGGUCUAGAAGAUACAAGCAAAGAGGCACACACAUAAGCUCCGAAGUGUGUGUGCAUCUGAACAUACUGGUGAAUCUCACACCCACCACCAGGUACAUGUGUCAAGCUGUUAGCAGAUAACGGUUUAAAGAUCUGACACACUAAAAUAGAAAGAAAACAAAAAUCUAUCAGAAUAUGUUUCAGAACACAAGGAAGUAUUCGAAAGUUUUAAAAAAAGAAACAGGAGAAAAGGAUGAAGGUGAGUGUAUGUGCUGCCAAUUGUGAAGCCCAAUUAUUAAAUGUAAAUAUUUAAAGACUAA